rnacentral:rRNA from 1 species
CCUACGGGUGGCAGCAGUGGGGAAUAUUGGACAAUGGGCGAAAGCCUGAUCCAGCCAUGCCGCGUGUGUGAAGAAGGCCUUCGGGUUGUAAAGCACUUUCAGUGGGGAAGAAAGCCUUGGGGCUAAUACCCUCGAGGAAGGACAUCACCCACAGAAGAAGCACCGGCUAACUCCGUGCCAGCAGCCGCGGUAAUAUGGAGGGUGCGAGCGUUAAUCGGAAUUACUGGGCGUAAAGCGCGCGUAGGCGGUCUGAUAAGCCGGUUGUGAAAGCCCCGGGCUCAACCUGGGAACGGCAUCCGGAACUGUCAGGCUAGAGUGCAGGAGAGGAAGGUAGAAUUCCCGGUGUAGCGGUGAAAUGCGUAGAGAUCGGGAGGAAUACCAGUGGCGAAGGCGGCCUUCUGGACUGACACUGACGCUGAGGUGCGAAAGCGUGGGUAGCAAACAGGAUUAGAUACCCCGGUAGUC